rnacentral:rRNA from 1 species
UACGUAGGGUGCAAGCGUUGUCCGGAAUUAUUGGGCGUAAAGAGCUCGUAGGCGGUCUGUUACGUCCGCUGUGAAAACCCAGGGCUUAACCCUGGGCUUGCAGUGGAUACGGGUAGACUAGAGGCAGGUAGGGGAGACUGGAAUUCCUGAUGUAGCGGUGAAAUGCGCAGAUAUCGGGAGGAACACCGGUGGCGAAGGCGGUUCUCUGGGCCUUACCUGACGCUGAGGAGCGAAAGCGUGGGGAGCGAACAGG